GAUGAACGCUAGCGGCAGGCCUAAUACAUGCAAGACUAGGGGGCAGCAAUGUCACCGUCGCACGGGUGCGUAACGCGUAUGCAACCUACCUAUCACAGGGGGAUAGCCUUUGGAAACAGGGGAUUUAAUACCCGCAUAAAGCAGGGGCUCCGCAUGGAGAUAUUGCUAAAGAUUUAUCGGUGAUAGAUGGGCAUGCGUCUGAUUAGUUAGAUGGUGGGGUAACGGCCUACCAUGGCGAUGAUCAGUAGGGGGCGUCAGAGCGUGGUCCCCCACACUGGCACUGAGAUACGGGCCAGACUCCUACGGGAGGCAGCAGUAGGGAAUAUUGGACAAUGGGCGAAAGCCUGAUCCAGCAAUGCCGCGUGAGUGACGAAGGCCUUAGGGUUGUAAAGCUCUUUUACCCGAGAUGAAGGUACCAAAUGAAUAAGCACCGGCUAAACUCCGUG
rnacentral:rRNA from 1 species